rnacentral:antisense_RNA from 1 species
AGAAGGGCUUCCACGGGUAACGCCGUUGGGGGCCUUUUUCUUUUGC